rnacentral:rRNA from 1 species
CCUACGGGAGGUAGCAGUGGGGGAUAUUGCACAAUGGGGGGAACCCUGAUGCAGCGACGCCGCGUGGGUGAAGAAGCGCCUCGGCGCGUAAAGCCCUGUCAGCAGGGAAGAAAAUGACGGUACCUGAAGAAGAAGCCCCGGCUCACUACGUGCCAGCAGCCGCGGUAAUACGUAGGGGGCAAGCGUUAUCCGGAUUUACUGGGUGUAAAGGGGGCGCAGACGGCGAUGCAAGCCAGGAGUGAAAGCCCGGGGCCCAACCCCGGGACUGCGCUUGGAACUGCGUGGCUGGAGGGCAGGAGGGGCAGGCGGAAUUCCUGGUGGAGCGGUGAAAUGCGGAGAGAUCAGGAGGAACACCGGUGGCGAAGGCGGCCUGCUGGACUGCAACUGACGUUGAGGCCCGAAAGCGUGGGGAGCAAACAGGAUUAGAUACCCCAGUAGUC